AGAAUCAGCGCUGGCGGCGUGCCUACACAUGCAAGUCGCACGAGAAAGGGGAGCAAUCCCUGAGUAAAGUGGCGCACGGGUGAGUAACACGUGAAUAAUCUACCUCCGAGUGGGGAAUAAACUGAGAGAAAUCUUAGCUAAUACCGCAUAACACUUACGAGUCAAAGCAGCAAUGCGCUUGGAGAGGAGUUCGCGGCCGAUUAGUUAGUUGGUCGGGGUAAUGGCCCACCAAGACGAUGAUCGGUA
rnacentral:rRNA from 1 species